UGCAGUCGAACGGUAACAGGUCUUCGGAUGCUGACGAGUGGCGAACGGGUGAGUAAUACAUCGGAACGUGCCCGAUCGUGGGGGAUAACGAAGCGAAAGCUUUGCUAAUACCGCAUAAGAUCUACGGAUGAAAGCAGGGGACCGCAAGGCCUUGCGCGAACGGAGCGGCCGAUGGCAGAUUAGGUAGUUGGUGGGAUAAAAGCUUACCAAGCCGACGAUCUGUAGCUGGUCUGAGAGGACGACCAGCCACACUGGGACUGAGACACGGCCCAGACUCCUACGGGAGGCAGCAGUGGGGAAUUUUGGACAAUGGGCGAAAGCCUGAUCCAGCCAUGCCGCGUGCAGGAUGAAGGCCUUCGGGUUGUAAACUGCUUUUGUACGGAACGAAAAGACUCUGGUUAAUACCUGGGGUCCAUGACGGUACCGUAAGAAUAAGCACCGGCUAACUACGUGCCAGC
rnacentral:rRNA from 1 species